rnacentral:rRNA from 1 species
CCUACGGGAGGCAGCAGUCGAGAAUCAUUCACAAUGGGGGAAACCCUGAUGGUGCGACGCCGCGUGGGGGAAUGAAGGUCUUCGGAUUGUAAACUUCUGUCAUGUGGGAGCAAAUUUAAAAGAUAGUACCUCACGAGGAAGAGACGGCUAACUCUGUUCCAGCAGCUGCGGUAAUACAGAGGUCUCAAGCGUUGUUCGGAAUCACUGGGCGUAAAGCGUGCGGUGGCUGUUUCGUAAGUCGGGUGUGAAAGGCGCGGGCUCAACCCGCGGGCGGCACAUGAUACUGGGAGACUAGAGUAAUGGAGGGGGAAGCGGAAUGCGCGGUGUAGCAGUGAAAUGCGUAGAUAUCGAGAGGAACACUCAUGGCGAAGGCGGGUUCCUGGACAUUAACUGACGCUGAGGCACGAAGGCCAGGGGAGCGAAAGGGAUUAGAUACCCCUGUAGUC